rnacentral:rRNA from 1 species
CCUACGGGUGACAGCAGUGAGGAAUAUUGGACAAUGGGCGGGAGCCUGAACCAGCAAAGCCGCGUGAGGGAAGAAGGUACAGCGUAUCGUAAACCUCUUUUGUCAGGGAACGAAGGCGGGGACUAGUCCCCGGAUGAGGGUACCUGAAGAAAAAGCAUCGGCUAACUCCGUGCCAGCAGCCGCGGUAAUACGGAGGAUGCGAGCGUUAUCCGGAUUUAUUGGGUUUAAAGGGUGCGCAGGCGGCCUGUUAAGUCAGCGGGAAAAGCCCGGGGCUCAACCCCGGCGAGCCGUUGAAACUGGCGGGCUGGAGUUGGAGAGAAGUACGCGGAAUGCGCGGUGUAGCGGUGAAAUGCUUAGAUAGCGCGCAGAACCCCGAUUGCGAAGGCAGCGUACCGGCUCCACACUGACGCUGAGGCACGAAAGCGUGGGUAUCGAACAGGAUUAGAUACCCCAGUAGUC